UCCCUCAUGGCUCAGAUGGUAAAGCGUCUGCUUGCAAUGCAGGAGACCCGGGUUUGAUCCCUGGGUUGGGAA
rnacentral:tRNA from 1 species